rnacentral:rRNA from 1 species
UACGUAGGGUGCGAGCGUUAAUCGGAAUUACUGGGCGUAAAGCGUGCGCAGGCGGUUUUGUAAGUCAGAUGUGAAAUCCCCGGGCUUAACCUGGGAACUGCGUUUGAAACUACAAGGCUAGAGUGUGGCAGAGGGGGGUGGAAUUCCACGUGUAGCAGUGAAAUGCGUAGAGAUGUGGAGGAACACCGAUGGCGAAGGCAGCCCCCUGGGUUAACACUGACGCUCAGGCACGAAAGCGUGGGGAGCAAACAGA